AGGUGAAGAGGCUUCGUGCAUCUUAUCUUCAUGUGUCCCGAGCUUUAGAUGAUUGUUUCUAGGGAUCCAUAAGACGAUUAUUUUCCUUUUCUCUUGUAUAUGAUUGACGAUGCUGCACUUCUUUUCCCUGAUAUUAUUUGAUGAAGAGAUAUUUCCAUAUGUGAUAAAAUGCUUAAUAUUUCCAGAAUUUGCAAAUAAAACUCUAAAGUUCCUUUGAAAUAAAAAACAAAUCAUAUGCACAAACAUUGCAUGCAU
rnacentral:lncRNA from 1 species